CCUACGUGCGACAGCAGUGAGGAAUAUUGGUCAAUGGGCGGAAGCCUGAACCAGCCAAGUAGCGUGCAGGAUGACGGCCCUACGUGUUGUAAACUGCUUUUAUACGGGAAUAACGCGCCUUACGUGUAGGGCUUUGCAUGUACCGGAAGAAUAAGGACCGGCUAAUUCCGUGCCAGCAGCCGCGGUAAUACGGAAGGUCCGGGCGGUAUCCGGAUUUAUUGGGUUUAAAGGGAGCGUAGGCCGCAUGUCAAGCGUGCUGUGAAAUGUCCGGGCUCAACCCGGGCCUUGCAGUGGUAACUGGCGUGCUUGAGUCCGCGGAAAGCAGGCGGAAUGAGUCGUGUAGCGGUGAAAUGCUUAGAUAUGACGAAGAACCCCGAUUGCGAAGGCAGCUUGCUGCAGCGGAACUGACGCUGAUGCUCGAAAGCGCGGGUAUCGAACAGGAUUAGAUACCCUUGUAGUC
rnacentral:rRNA from 1 species